UCAUGACCUGAGCUGGAGUCGGGCGCUUAACCGACUGAGCCACCCAGGCGCCCCAGCAGAGGUCAUCCUAAAAGGGAGAGAAAGGAACAACGCCAAGGACGGGGAGAAAUGCAGUGACGCGGACGGAGGGCAGGCACUGAAGGUCAUGAAGGAGGGCCGUUGGCUGAAUUUCCUACCAUGCCCAGUGGGUGCAGUGAGAGGUUUCCACAUCUGCACUGAGAGGGUUUGGGCAGCAAACAGUUCCUGAGCCCAGUGUGUGUCAUUCACGCACCUGGAGAAGAAAAGGAAUAUUCUGAGCCUCUGCCACAAGGCGUUCACAUUCGAAACCACUUGACCUUACCCUGGCAGCCUCUGGCUUG